rnacentral:lncRNA from 1 species
GUGUCAGGAGUGUGGGGGAGACUAUAUCUACAGGUCCAACUUGCUCCUGGACAGAGGAUGUAUGCAGAGGAGAUGCCUCACAAAUGCCCAGAGUGUGGUUGGAGAUGCAGUCAUAGCUCCCAACUUGCAGUGCAUCAGAUAACCCACACAGAACAGAAACUGUAUUGUUGCUUCCAGUGUGGGGAAAGCUUCAGCCCCAGUUAAUUUCUUUUUAUGCAUAAAAGAGCCCACACAGGGGAAAGGCCUUCAAGCAUUUAGUAUGUGGGAAAAACUUCAGUUAGAGCUCAAGUCUCAUUGCUCAUUAGAGAACCCAUACUGGGGAGAGACCUUACAAAUGUCCCACUUGUGGGAAAGGUUUCGGCAACAGUUUUAAUUGUAUCACUCAUCAGAAAAGUCAUUCUUGAAAACAAGU